UGAAAUGCAGUGAUGGAGAAGAGUACACAGUGCCUGACUUACAGGGAGGAGACGCCGGUGAUUGAGAGCGUUUCUAGGAUACAGAGCUGUCGAAGUUCACUCCGGAGCAGUUCCUUGAAUUCCUUAAGAUUGCCUUGUAAGGAAGCGUAGGGGAAACCGGUCACAGACCGUUAUUUCUGUAUAAAGUGAGAUAGGUAUCUGUCCAGCCAAAAGAGGGAAUGAAGCUCUUAAGGGGAACAGAUCAGCUUGUCUAACAAGGGUGGUACCACGGUCUUUUCGUCCCUUAC
rnacentral:ncRNA from 1 species